GUGUGUGUGUGUGUGUGUGUGUGUGUGUGUAUUUCUUAUUUCAGUUUAUUUGUGACAUCGUGACUGACCGGUUCCUUGCAUUUUUCCGGAUCAAAAUUUUUGGCGAAAAAACAGCGAAAGGAUGCAUUUGUAAAAUGGCAUCUGCACUGAUGACCAAAAAUGUUGAAAAAAAUUACUCUGGUACUGAGAAAAGAAUAAAAGGCGUGGGAAAACUUAAUUUUAGCGCAACAGAAACAUUUAAGUGUAUGGAAGAUGUAGUAAAAGAGAAACUUGGUGACUGUGAAGAUUGCAAAAAUUUUGCCGGAAAAGUUG